rnacentral:rRNA from 1 species
GUGGGGAAUUUUGGACAAUGGGCGCAAGCCUGAUCCAGCAAUGCCGCGUGCAGGAAGAAGGCCUUCGGGUUGUAAACUGCUUUUGUACGGAACGAAACGGCUCUGGUUAAUACCCGGGGCUAAUGACGGUACCGUAAGAAUAAGCACCGGCUAACUACGUGCCAGCAGCCGCGGUAAUACGUAGGGUGCAAGCGUUAAUCGGAAUUACUGGGCGUAAAGCGUGCGCAGGCGGUUUUGUAAGACAGGCGUGAAAUCCCCGGGCUCAACCUGGGAAUGGCGCUUGUGACUGCAAAGCUGGAGUGCGGCAGAGGGGGAUGGAAUUCCGCGUGUAGCAGUGAAAUGCGUAGAGAUGCGGAGGAACACCGAUGGCGAAGGCAAUCCCCUGGGCCUGCACUGACGCUCAUGCACGAAAGCGUGGGGAGCAAACAGGAUUAGAAACCCCUGUAGUCC